UACCAGCUCUCCGAGUGGUGUGGAUGAUUAUUGGGCCUAAAGCAUCCGUAGCUGGCUAGGCCAGUCCCCUGUUAAAUCCACCGAAUCAAUCGUUGGAUUGCGGGGGAUACUGCUUGGCUAGGGGACGAGAGAGGCAGACGGUAUUUUCGGGGUAGGGGUGAAAUCCUAUAAUCCCGGGAAGACCACCAGUGGCGAAGGCUGUCUGCUAGAACGCGCCCGACGGUGAGGGAUGAAAGCUAGGGGCACGAACCGG
rnacentral:rRNA from 1 species